rnacentral:rRNA from 1 species
UACGUAGGGGGCAAGCGUUGUCCGGAAUCAUUGGGCGUAAAGAGCGUGUAGGCGGCCCGGUAAGUCCGCUGUGAAAGUCCAGGGCUCAACCCUGGGAUGCCGGUGGAUACUGUCGGGCUCGAGUCCGGAAGAGGAGUGUGGAAUUCCUGGUGUAGCGGUGAAAUGCGCAGAUAUCGAGAGGAACACCUGCGGCGAAGGCGGGUUGCU